GAUGAACGCUGGCGGCGUGCCUAAUACAUGCAAGUCGAGCGAACAGACGAGGAGCUUGCUCCUCUGACGUUAGCGGCGGACGGGUGAGUAACACGCGGAUAACCUACCUAUAAGACUGGGAUAACUUCGGGAAACCGGAGCUAAUACCGGAUAAUAUAUUGAACCGCAUGGUUCAAUAGUGGAAGACGGUUUUGCUGUCACUUAUAGAUGGAUCCGCGCCGCAUUAGCUAGUUGGUAAGGUAACGGCUUACCAAGGCAACGAUGCGUAGCCGACCUGAGAGGGUGAUCGGCCACACUGGAACUGAGACACGGUCCAGACUCCUACGGGAGGCAGCAGUAGGGAAUCUUCCGCAAUGGGCGAAAGCCUGACGGAGCAACGCCGCGUGAGUGAUGAAGGUCUUCGGAUCGUAAAACUCUGUUAUUAGGGAAGAACAAAUGUGUAAGUAACUAUGCACGUCUUGACGGUACCUAAUCAGAAAGCCACGGCUAACUACGUG
rnacentral:rRNA from 1 species